UACGGAGGAUGCGAGCGUUAUCCGGAUUUAUUGGGUUUAAAGGGUGCGUAGGCCGAAAUAUAAGUCAGCGGUGAAACGCCGGAGCUCAACUCCGGCCCUGCCGUUGAAACUGUAUUUCUUGAGUAAAUUCGAGGUAAGCGGAAUUCGUAGUGUAGCGGUGAAAUGCAUAGAUAUUACGAGGAACUCCGAUAGCGCAGGCAGCUUACCAGACUUUAACUGACGCUGAGGCACGAAAGUGUGGGUAUCAAACAGG
rnacentral:rRNA from 1 species